ACUGCCAAACAGCAGUAGAGGGGAGGGGGCAGAAAGGAGAUUAGGAACGCUGCCUGAAACUGGGACGAAGGAAACAGUACAGCACAUUACAUGUGGGCUGCACAUGCAACCAAGCCCAACGGUACAGAGAAAACCAUGCAAUCGUGGCAGAGCUACAUGCAAGGGUGUGUAUAUGCCAGGCACCGAUGGUUAGUCGGUUAAAUGCACAACAGCGAGUUGUUGGCAUGACGAUUUUGACCUUUGUUCCUCCAGGUCACUUGUUCAAGUCACUUGUUAAGAAAUGUAAUUUAGUUGCAAGUGUUCUUUGCCACUCAGGCAAUGCUGCACUUUAAUGUGAACUUGUUUGGACACUUUCCAUCACCUUCCCACAACAUUUGAGUUCUCUGUUUGGUUCAAAUGAAUGAUGUCAAAAACAAUAUAAUAGACUGCAACCUGAAUAGUAAGUUAUGAGCUCUCUCUAUAUGAGAUGCUUAAUUAGUAUGCGUGGAUCGUGGAGGUUUGCCUGCAUAAAUCUAUCAUGAUACCAUUCAUGUGUUGUACCAAAAGGAAUAGGAGCUCAAAUAUUCUCAAGGUUGUGUAUAUCAAAAGGGGAGGAUAUGGGUAUUGAAGUGGUUUUUGUUUUACUCCAUCUACUGGAAAUUAAAGCCGUCGUACUCUUAAGAAACACCAACAAAAUGGUGCUAUUUCAAUUCUGCACGUAACAUAAAUCUGUCUAACAAUAGCAGGCUAAGCUUCUUUAGCGUUACAUAAAAGCAUGCACACUAUUUCUCUGUUGAUCACACACACACACACAACAAAUGUGCAUACGUUAAGUCCUUCCGCUCAUACAGUGCAUUUUCUGAGUGAAAUUAUACUUAACAUUUGCCUUAUUGCACACAUGGGACUUUGUGGAAAUACCAUUUCAGCUGCCAAUUUCAUUGUACAUUCUCCUAAAUAAUCCUGGAAUGGAGCACUGAAGAAAGCAAUGGGUGCCAAUGGUAAUAAGCAUGUAUCUGUCAGAACUACUUAUUAGCACAGACUGUAGAUGAGGAUGAUGAUACUGAGGAUGUUUAGUGUCCAGCAUAAGACCGACAAAUGAGUGAACAGGCACAAGGCAUGCUGUGUGUGAUUGAGAGAUGGAGGUGUUCUACAUCUAGUUCUACGGAGGUGUUCUACAUCUAGUUCUACAUCUAGUUCUACGGAGGUUGUCUACAUCUACGGAGGUGUUCUACAUCUAGUUCUACAUCUAGUUUUACGGAGGUGUUCUACAUCUACGGAGGUGUUCUACAUCUACGGAGGUCUUCUACAUCUACGGAGGUCUUCUACAUCUACGGAGGUCUUCUACAUCUACGGAGGUCUUCUACAUCUACGGAGGUCUUCUACAUCUACGGAGGUCUUCUACAUCUACGGAGGUGUUCUACAUCUAGUUCUACAUCUAGUUCUACGGAGGUUGUCUACAUCUACGGAGGUGUUCUACAUCUAGUUCUACAUCUAGUUUUACGGAGGUGUUCUACAUCUACGGAGGUGUUCUACAUCUACGGAGGUCUUCUACAUCUACGGAGGUCUUCUACAUCUACGGAGGUCUUCUACAUCUAGUUCUACAUCUACGGAGGUGUUCUACAUCUACGGAGGUCUUCUACAUCUACGGAGGUCUUCUACAUCUAGUUCUACAUCUACGGAGGUGUUCUACAUCUACGGAGGUGUUCUACAUCUACGGAGGUGUUCUACAUCUACGGAGGUCUUCUACAUCUACGGAGGUCUUCUACAUCUAGUUCUACAUCUACGGAGGUGUUCUACAUCUACGGAGGUCUUCUACAUCUACGGAGGUCUUCUACAUCUAGU